AGGAGAGAUGGCUGAGUAGUUGAAAGCGUAGCAUUGGAACUUCUAUGUAGGCUUUUGCUUACCGAGGGUUCGAAUCCCUCUCUUUCCGAUGAGCACG
rnacentral:tRNA from 1 species